rnacentral:rRNA from 1 species
UACGUAGGGUGCAAGCGUUGUCCGGAAUUAUUGGGCGUAAAGAGCUCGUAGGCGGUCUGUCGCGUCGGCUGUGAAAACCCGCGGCUCAACCUCGGGCCUGCAGUCGAUACGGGCAGACUAGAGUGCGGUAGGGGAGACUGGAAUUCCUGGUGUAGCGGUGAAAUGCGCAGAUAUCAGGAGGAAUACCGAUGGCGAAGGCAGGUCUCUGGGCUAUAACUGACGCUCAUGCACGAAAGCGUGGGGAGCAAACAGG